ACUCAAAUGAAUAGACGGGGGCCCGCACAAGCAGUGGAGUAUGUGGUUUAAUUCGACGCAACGCGAAGAACCUUACCAGGGCUUGACAUCCUCUGACGGUACCAGAGAUGGUGCUUUCCCUUCGGGGACAGAGAGACAGGUGGUGCAUGGUUGUCGUCAGCUCGUGUCGUGAGAUGUUGGGUUAAGUCCCGCAACGAGCGCAACCCCUAUGGUCAGUUGCCAGCAGGUCAAGCUGGGCACUCUGGCGAGACUGCCGUUGACAAAACGGAGGAAGGUGGGGACGACGUCAAAUCAUCAUGCCCCUUAUGUCCUGGGCUACACACGUACUACAAUGGCAACAACAGAGGGCAGCCAUGCCGCGAGGCAGAGCGAAUCCCAAAAUGUUGUCUCAGUUCAGAUUGCAGGCUGCAACUCGCCUGCAUGAAGUCGGAAUUGCUAGUAAUGGCAGGUCAGCAUACUGCCGUGAAUACGUUCCCGGGCCUUGUACACACCGCCCGU
rnacentral:rRNA from 1 species